AAAGCAGUCACUGAAAGCAGCACCAAGUGUCAGAUACAGAGAGCAGCUUGGAAGAAGUGCCUGGCAAGAGAGGAAGAAACUUCAAAAGCUUUAAUUUCAAGACAAUAAAGGUCUCACGUUAAUAUGUGUGCAAGCUUUGACUGCAACUGGAAAAAAGUUAUAGCAUGCAGAUGCAUCACAAGCAGGUCUAGGGAAGUGAUAAUUCCCCUCUGUUCGGCAUUGGUGAGACCGCAGAUAGAGUACCGCGUCCAAUUCUGGGUGUCUCACUUCAAGAUGGAUGUGGAUAACCUUGAGAGGGUUCAGAGGAGGGCUACUCAUAUGGUGGAAGGCGUGCAGGCAGAUGUUGUCAACAGGAAUGGUCACACAUUUUGCAGAUAAUGACCUGGCAUUAUACAGCUGCUUUUGGUGAAGGCAAGUUUGUCAUAGCUUGUAGAAUACAAGAAUGAGCAUGUAACUUAAUUUAAUACUUAAAGGUAAUCACUAAUUAUUUUCACAUCUAGUGAUAAUUCUAUGGGAUAUUUAAUAAUUAUAAGAAAACGACUGUUUCAGUAACAUUUAUUUUUUUAGUAACAGACUUAAGUCCCAUUAACUGACAUUUAGCCUAAGUAAGGACUUCAUCAUCUGGCUCUUUAUUUUUUAAUUAAGGUUAAAAAAGUACAAAUGAAAACAGAAGUGCAGAAUUUAAAAUACAAAUAAAUAAAAUAUAAAAUACAAGAAAUGUCAUCAGUUCUAUUAAUGCAUUGUGUAUCAAAUGAGUUAUCCCACAAUUAACCUUAGAGCUCAUAAACAAACUAGGCAUCUGAGCAGUUUUGGAUCCACAAUUUAGAUUAUUUUUGAAAUAUGAAUAUAAUUAAUCUCACAUAUUCUAAUAAGAAAAGUUAAAAGUGAAAUUGCCACUUACUGAUUUAACUGUUUGAAGUGUGAUCUGGCUGAAAGCUGAACUAAGAGAAGACACUGAAACUGAAAUAAAAUCUUCAUGAUAUAUGGUUACACAGGAAAGAAGGAGGUUAUUCAUAGCACUUUUUGUUUAAUAUCUGUGUAAAGUACCAAGUUGUUUGGCAUCAAGGCUUUGGAUGAUAGAAAGAUACAUAGUUUUAAGACCAAUUUCUUAGACAAAGUCUCUUGGCAACGUUAGUAGCUCAAUGCAAUGGUUAGGGCAUUUCUGAAAAAAAAAAAAAUAGCUGAGAAGACAACUUAAUACUAUCUGGAUACAGUUUCUUUCU